rnacentral:ribozyme from 13 species
GAAAGGGGGAAAGAGGAGAAAAAGAAAAAGAAAAAAGGGGUGCGAAAGCGUUCUCUUUCAAUCUUUUUGGAGUCCUUUUUUUUUUUUCUCUCUCUGUUUUUUCGCUACUUUCCCCCCUUCUCUCUUUCUCUUCUCUCCUUCUUUCUUUUUAUUUGAAGUAGAAG